CUACGUGCCAGCAGCCGCGGUAAUACGGAAGGUCCGGGCGUUAUCCGGAUUUAUUGGGUUUAAAGGGAGCGUAGGCUGGAGAUUAAGUGUGUUGUGAAAUGUAGACGCUCAACGUCUGACUUGCAGCGCAUACUGGUUUCCUUGAGUACGCACAACGUUGGCGGAAUUCGUCGUGUAGCGGUGAAAUGCUUAGAUAUGACGAAGAACUCCGAUUGCGAAGGCAGCUGACGGGAGCGCAACUGACGCUGAAGCUCGAAGGUGCGGGUAUCGAACAGGAUUAGAUACCCUGGUAGUCCGCACAGUAAACGAUGGAUGCCCGCUGUUGGUACUUGGUAUCAGCGGCUAAGCGAAAGCAUUAAGCAUCCCACCUGGGGAGUACGCCGGCAACGGUGAAACUCAAAGGAAUUGACGGGGGCCCGCACWAGCGGAGGAACAUGUGGUUUAAUUCGAUGAUACGCGAGGAACCUUACCCGGGCUUGAA
rnacentral:rRNA from 1 species